rnacentral:rRNA from 1 species
UAGGGAAUCUUCGGCAAUGGGGGGAACCCUGACCGAGCAACGCCGCGUGAGUGAAGAAGGUUUUCGGAUCGUAAAGCUCUGUUGUUAAGGAAGAACGAGUGUGAGAAUGGAAAGUACAUACUGUGACGGUACUUAACCAGAAAGGGACGGCUAACUACGUGCCAGCAGCCGCGGUAAUACGUAGGUGGCAAGCGUUGUCCGGAUUUAUUGGGCGUAAAGCGAGCGCAGGCGGUCAAUUAAGUCUGAUGUGAAAGCCCCCGGCUCAACCGGGGAGGGUCAUUGGAAACUGGUUGACUUGAGUGCAGAAGAGGAGAGUGGAAUUCCAUGUGUAGCGGUGAAAUGCGUAGAUAUAUGGAGGAACACCAGUGGCGAAGGCGACUCUCUGGUCUGUAACUGACGCUGAGGCUCGAAAGCGUGGGUAGCAAACAGG